AUAUCAGCGAAAGGUGUCAGGGAU
rnacentral:snRNA from 1 species